rfam:Aedes albopictus isolate Foshan contig241666, whole genome shotgun sequence.
UAGCUUAGUGGUUAAGGCUAUGGAUCGCCAAUCCGAAGACGGCGGGUUUGAUUCCCGU